GGAGCGCAGUUUACGGGAACAAUAACACACCUAUGGUCAUGGCUGCGGACACAGGCUGUACAGACCUGACCCUGCGGACCGAGGAGGGCGUUUCACCGGCCACACAGGAGCUGAAGCAUGUGGAGGCCAGACUGGGGACCCUGUCUGACAACCUCAACCUGUGCAACCAAGUCCUGAGUGACUUAGAGGCUCUAAGUGAUGUUCUAGUGAGAAAAUCUCUCCAGGAUGUGUCCUUACCACCGCGGAAGUGACCAGAAGUGGACCCCCCACCCCCAACCCACCUUUUCUUUAUUAUAUGACUAAAUAAAUCCAAUUAAAAUCAACCGUCAAUUUUAACUGUAAAACACUUCAUUAAAGCAGAGGCAAUAAUUUCAGUGACAAGGAUAAGGUUUUAUUAGUAUCAUAUUGCUUUCAAUUCAGAAAUGUAUUUAUCAUAUUACUUUAUAUGAAACAAGCAUAACAUUAUACAUUCUUUUUUUUAAAAAUACAAACCCUUAAUUAUUCCUCACUCUUUGGGUUUCAAGACAUUCCUUUGGAAACAUAUCGUUGUCUUAAAAUAUUGCCUAAUUGGAAAAGUUUUUGAAUUUCUGGAUCUUAAUUUCAAAAACACUGACACAUUUAUUGAUCAAACAAUUUGCUUCCAAACAAAUGUCUUCAUCAGUGAUUUCUUAUUUUUUUUCCCGUUUCAGGUAAACUCCCAGAAAGACAAACCUGGUCCACAUGUCCAACUAUAUAUAUAUAUAUAUCUGCUUAUUGAUUAAAACAAAUAUGGACAGCUGUCAGUUUUCAUUUCAUUGGUGAAGAUGAGCCAACAAAUUAUCCACAGCAAAUUUCCAAUGUGUGAAAAGUGAUUACAUAAAUGGAGUGAGCCCAAAUGAAACAUGUUUACACAUUACA